CAGGCUUAACACAUGCAAGUCGAGGGGCAUCAGGAAGAAAGCUUGCUUUCUUUGCUGGCGACCGGCGCACGGGUGAGUAACACGUAUCCAACCUGCCCUUUACUCGGGGAUAGCCUUUCGAAAGAAAGAUUAAUACCCGAUGGCAUAAUGAUUCCGCAUGGUUUCAUUAUUAAAGGAUUCCGGUAAAGGAUGGGGAUGCGUUCCAUUAGGUUGUUGGUGAGGUAACGGCUCACCAAGCCUUCGAUGGAUAGGGGUUCUGAGAGGAAGGUCCCCCACAUUGGAACUGAGACACGGUCCAAACUCCUACGGGAGGCAGCAGUGAGGAAUAUUGGUCAAUGGGCGCUAGCCUGAACCAGCCAAGUAGCGUGAAGGAUGAAGGCUCUAUGGGUCGUAAACUUCUUUUAUAUAAGAAUAAAGUGCAGUAUGUAUACUGUUUUGUAUGUAUUAUAUGAAUAAGGAUCGGCUAACUCCGUGCCAGCAGCCGCGGUAAUACGGAGGAUCCGAGCGUUAUCCGGAUUUAUUGGGUUUAAAGGGAGCGUAGGUGGACUGGUAAGUCAGUUGUGAAAGUUUGCGGCUCAACCGUAAAAUUGCAGUUGAUACUGUCAGUCUUGAGUGCAGUAGAGGUGGGCGGAAUUCGUGGUGUAGCGGUGAAAUGCUUAGAUAUCACGAAGAACUCCGAUUGCGAAGGCAGCUCACUGGACUGCAACUGACACUGAUGCUCGAAAGUGUGGGUAUCAAACAGGAUUAGAUACCCUGGUAGUCCACACAGUAAACGAUGAAUACUCGCUGUUUGCGAUAUACAGUAAGCGGCCAAGCGAAAGCAUUAAGUAUUCCACCUGGGGAGUACGCCGGCAACGGUGAAACUCAAAGGAAUUGACGGGGGCCCGCACAAGCGGAGGAACAUGUGGUUUAAUUCGAUGAUACGCGAGGAACCUUACCCGGGCUUAAAUUGCAGUGGAAUGAUGUGGAAACAUGUCAGUGAGCAAUCACCGCUGUGAAGGUGCUGCAUGGUUGUCGUCAGCUCGUGCCGUGAGGUGUCGGCUUAAGUGCCAUAACGAGCGCAACCCUUAUCUUUAGUUACUAACAGGUUAUGCUGAGGACUCUAGAGAGACUGCCGUCGUAAGAUGUGAGGAAGGUGGGGAUGACGUCAAAUCAGCACGGCCCUUACGUCCGGGGCUACACACGUGUUACAAUGGGGGGUACAGAAGGCAGCUAGCGGGUGACCGUAUGCUAAUCCCAAAAGCCUCUCUCAGUUCGGAUCGAAGUCUGCAACCCGACUUCGUGAAGCUGGAUUCGCUAGUAAUCGCGCAUCAGCCACGGCGCGGUGAAUACGUUCCCGGGCCUUGUACACACCGCCCGUCAAGCCAUGGGAGCCGGGGGUACCUGAAGUACGUAACCGCAAGGAUCGUCCUAGGGUAAAACUGGUGACUGGGGC
rnacentral:rRNA from 1 species